AACCUCUCUGUGUGAGGAACAUGAAGCUCUGAGGAUGAAGAGACAGAGACCAGACUCUCCUGGACCCAGCUGUGUGUCCAUGAGGAGUGACCUGUCCAAAGAUCUCCCUCUUGACUUUAAAGAUGGACGUCCUGCUGAUGGAAGGAUGAAGAGACAGAGACCAGACUCUCCUGGACCCAGCUGUGUG